rnacentral:piRNA from 1 species
UCCCAGUUCUAGACCUCAAACGGGCUGCC